CAGUCGCCGCGGUAAUACGUAGGGCGCAAGCGUUAUCCGGAAUUAUUGGGCGUAAAGAGCUCGUAGGCGGUUUGUCGCGUCUGCCGUGAAAGUCCGGGGCUCAACCCCGGAUCUGCGGUGGGUACGGGCAGACUAGAGUGAUGUAGGGGAGACUGGAAUUCCUGGUGUAGCGGUGAAAUGCGCAGAUAUCAGGAGGAACACCGAUGGCGAAGGCAGGUCUCUGGGCAUUAACUGACGCUGAGGAGCGAAAGCAUGGGGAGCGAACAGGAUUAGAGACCCCUGUAGUCCCUGUCUCUUAUAC
rnacentral:rRNA from 1 species